rnacentral:rRNA from 1 species
UACGGAGGGUGCAAGCGUUGUCCGGAAUCACUGGGCGUAAAGGGCGCGUAGGCGGCUCAUGAAGGCUGUGGUGAAAGUCCGGGGCUCAACCUCGGAUCGGCCGUGGCGACUCGUGGGCUGGAGCACUGUAGAGGCGGGUGGAAUUCCGGGUGUAGCGGUGAAAUGCGUAGAUAUUGAUAGGAACGCCAAAGACGAAGGUAGCCUUCUGGACCAGUACUGACGCUGAGACACUAAAGCUAGGGGAGCAAACAGG